rnacentral:rRNA from 1 species
AUGGAUUUGAGGUUGGGCUACCAUCAAAUCAAAAUCAGGAACGGGGACAUUUCUAAAACGGCCUUUGUUACUCGUUAUGGCCAAUACGAGUACACCGUCAUGUCUUUCGGUUUAACCAAUGCUCCAGCCACCUUUUCUCGGUUAAUGAACUCAAUCUUCAUGGAGUAUUUGGAGAAAUUCGUCAUGGUAUACCUCGAUGAUAUACUCAUCUACUCCAAGAAUGAGGAAGAACAUGCCGAGCAUCUAAGGCUAGUACUGGCGAAACUUCGAGAGCAUCGCCUUUAUGCUAAAUUCUCUAAGUGUGAAUUCUGGUUGCCAGAAGUGACCUAUCUAGGCCAUGUAAUCUCUGGUAAGGGUAUUGCUGUCAAUCCCGAGCGAGUUCAAGCCGUCCUUGACUGGACUCCACCUGAAUCGGUCAAGCAAGUUCGGAGUUUCCUUGGUUUAGCGAGCCACUUUCGCCGCUUCGUCGAGAAUUUCUCCAAGGUUGCUAAACCCCUAACUGAACUCCUGAAGAAAGAUAAAAAGUUCGAGUGGACCCCACAGUGCGAUUUCAGCUUUCAGGAACUGAAAAGACGCCUGACAUCUGCCCCCGUACUCAUACCACCAGAUUUUUCUAAGGACUUUGUUAUCUAUUGUGACGCCUCGCGAUAA